rnacentral:rRNA from 1 species
GGAUCUUCCCCUCGGACCUUGAAAAUCCGGGCGAGGGCCACGAGGAACACCGCGCCGGCUCGUACCCAUAUCCGCAGCAGGUCUCCAAGGUGAAUAGCCUCUAGUCGAUAGAAUAAUGUAGGUAAGGGAAGUCGGCAAACCCGAUCUGUAACUUCGGGAUAAGGAUUGGCUCUGAGGAUCGUGGCGCGCCGGGCUUGGUCGGGAAGUGGAGCGGUGCCAACGUGCCGGGCCUGGGCGAGGUGAAGGGCGCUCGUCGCCUGGACCCUAGCUCGGUCCCGUGCCUUGGCCACCCA